rnacentral:lncRNA from 1 species
CCUUAGAGAUUACCUAGUCUAAUGCUCUAAUUGUGAAGAUACUGAGUUCUACCCUGUCCUAUGACCUGCCUACCUCUCACACCAUCACCCCCACCCAAACAUGCACAUCUUCAUUUCUCCUAAAUAUUCCCAAUUCUUUUAAAUGAUUCUUUACACAUCCUGGCCACUUCACCCUCCUCUGGAUAGAGCCAAAAUAGGAGGGAAGACGAAAAAAUAAAAAUUAUAUAUAUAUAUAUAUAUAUAUAUAUAUAUAUAUAUUUAAGUGUACAUAUAUGUGUGUAUAUAUAUGUAUAUGUGUAUACACACACACAUACAAUCUUAUAACUUAAGAGAUCAUUUAGCCCAAUCCAAGUUCAGUCAGUCAGCAAGCUUUUUAAAGCACCUACUCUAUGUGGCAGUUACUGUGCUAGACUGUAGAUAUCAAAUGCAAAAAAAUAAAGCAGAGGGAGGGGGGAAAAGGGGGAAAUUCCUAUUCUCAAGGAGUUUGCAUUCUAAUGGGGAGAUCACAAGUGUGUGUGUAUGUGUGUGUGUGUGUAUAUAUAUAUAUAUAUAUAUAUAUAUAUAUAUACAGACACAAUAAAUAAAAAGAGAAUUAAUAUAAUACAAAACAAAUACAAAGUAUUUUGGAAGAAAGAGCACUAACAAUUGACACUAAAGGUUUUAUGUAGAAGGAAGAGAUGAGAAGUGGCUACAUUCCAGGCAUGGGAAUUGCUAAUACAUAGCCAGAGAUAAGAAAUAGAAUGUCAUAUGAAAAACAGAGAGGUCAGUUUGGAAGGAUCAAAAAAGUCAAGAAUGGAUAAUUAGGCUGGAAAAUUAAGUUAAAAGAUAUUGUGAGGGGCUUUAAAAGCCAAAUAGAGGAGCUUCUGUUUUAUCUUAGUGGCAACAGGAAGCCACUGUAGUGUAUUAGGUAGGGUUGAAUGAGUGACAUGAUCAAAUCUGAAUUUUAGUAGAAAUAUGAAGGAUAGGCUGAAGUGGGAUAAGACUUGAAUCCGGGGAAAUUAGGAGACCAUGGUAAUAAUCUAGACGAGAAGUGUUGAGGCCCCAAAUGGAAGUGGCCAGGCUGGACCAAGAAUCCAGAUCUUCUUGUCAAUCUAAGGUUCUUUUUACUCUUCCAUAAUGCCUCAAUAAUGGCACUAGAAUCAAACACAUUGAGCUUUCUCUCCUACACAUUCAGUUUCUUAUGUUGUCUUGAACUAGUUACUUUAGGAGCUAUAAAGCUUGUAAGAUGUUAGCUUUCCAUUAGCAGAGGAUGAGGUAAAAAAAUAAAACCCUGCUGGGUAGGAGAGUGAUGUUACCAGACAUCCUUCUCUGUGAUGGCCCUUAGCCUCUUGACAUCUCUCUUCAAUAUUUAGAUAUAAUAAAAGGUGAGUUCCAGAAAAACACUAAUUACAGAUUCAUAACAUUUUAGUGUAAAGUAGAAUCGAGAAUUCUAGAGCCAGAAUGAACACUAUAGAUCAUUUAGUCUAAUUCUAUCAUCUUCUCUUCCAUUAAUUUAAUCUUUCUUUUUAAUUAUGAAUUUAACAUUCAUCUGC